CACGUAGGGCGCAAGCGUUGUCCGGAAUUAUUGGGCGUAAAGAGCUCGUAGGCGGUCUGCCGCGUCGGCUGUGAAAUCCCGGAGCUCAACUCCGGGUCUGCAGUCGAUACGGGCAAACUGGAGUACUGCAGGGGAGACUGGAAUUCCUGGUGUAGCGGUGAAAUGCGCAGAUAUCAGGAGGAACACCGGUGGCGAAGGCGGCAUCCUGGACCGGCAUUGACGCUGAGGAGCGAAAGCCAGGGGAGCAAACGGG
rnacentral:rRNA from 1 species